CGUUCGGUGCAGUAGAGGUAAUCGUGUCUGCUUUACACGCAGAAGGUCCCCGGUUCGAACCCGGGCCGAACCA
rnacentral:tRNA from 1 species